GCAGAUAAUUACCUGUGACACCCAUGGUGCACUGUGAGCAGGUAUACAGGCCAACAGAGCAUGCAGAUAAUUACCUGUGACACCCAUUGUACACUGUGAGCAGGUAUACAGCCCAACAGAGCCUGCAGAUAAUUAUCUGUGACACCCAUUGUACACUGUGAGCAGGUAUACAGGCCCACAGAGCAUGCAGAUAAUUAUCUGUGACACCCUUUGAACACUGUGAGCAGGUAUACAGGCCAACAGAGCCUGCAGAUAAUUACCUGUGACACCCUUUGAACACUGUGAGCAGGUAUACAGGCCAACAGAGCCUGCAGAUAAUUACCUGUGACACCCAUUGUACACUGUGAGCAGGUAUACAGGCCCACAGAGCAUGCAGAUAAUUAUCUGUGACACCCUUUGAACACUGUGAGCAGGUAUACAGGCCCACAGAGCAUGCAGAUAAUUAUCUGUGACACCCUUUGAACACUGUGAGCAGGUAUACAGGCCCACAGAGCAUGCAGAUAAUUAUCUGUGACACCCUUUGAACACUGUGAGCAGGUAUACAGGCCAACAGAGCCUGCAGAUAAUUAUCUGUGACACCCUUUGAACACUGUGAGCAGGUAUACAGGCCAACAGAGCAUGCAGAUAAUUAUCUGUGACACCCAUUGUACAC